rnacentral:pre_miRNA from 13 species
UAACUCUUACCCUGUAGAUAUCCGAAUUUGUUGGUGUCAAAAUGAGACAAAUUCGUAUCUGCGAGGUUCUGUGUUAA